rnacentral:rRNA from 1 species
AGAGUUUGAUCAUGGCUCAGGACGAACGCUGGCGGCACGCCUAACACAUGCAAGUCGAACGGAGAUGAUUUGAGUUUACUUAGAUCAUCUUAGUGGCGGACGGGUGAGUAACACGUGAGCAACCUGCCUUUGAGAGAGGGAUAGCUUCAGGAAACGGAUGGUAAUACCUCAUAACAUACAGAUACCGCAUGGUGACUGUAUCAAAGAUUUAUCACUCAAAGAUGGGCUCGCGUCUGAUUAGAUAGUUGGUGAGGUAACGGCUCACCAAGUCGACGAUCAGUAGCCGGACUGAGAGGUUGAACGGCCACAUUGGGACUGAGACACGGCCCAGACUCCUACGGGGGGCAGCAGUGGGGAAUAUUGCACAAUGGGGGAAACCCUGAUGCAGCGAUGCCGCGUGGAGGAAGAAGGUUUUCGGAUUGUAAACUCCUGUCUUAAAGGACGAUAAUGACGGUACUUUAGGAGGAAGCUCCGGCUAACUACGUGCCAGCAGCCGCGGUAAUACGUAGGGAGCGAGCGUUGUCCGGAAUUACUGGGUGUAAAGGGAGCGUAGGCGGGACGGCAAGUCAGAUGUGAAAUACAUGGGCUCAACCCAUGGGCUGCAUUUGAAACUGCUGUUCUUGAGUGAAGUAGAGGUAAGCGGAAUUCCUGGUGUAGCGGUGAAAUGCGUAGAUAUCAGGAGGAACACCGGUGGCGAAGGCGGCUUACUGGGCUUUUACUGACGCUGAGGCUCGAAAGCGUGGAGAGCAAACAGGAUUAGAUACCCUGGUAGUCCACGCGGUAAACGAUGAAUACUAGGUGUUGGGGGACAAAGUCCUUCGGUGCCGCCGCAAACGCAUUAAGUAUUCCACCUGGGGAGUACGUUCGCAAGAAUGAAACUCAAAGGAAUUGACGGGGACCCGCACAAGCGGUGGAGCAUGUGGUUUAAUUCGAAGCAACGCGAAGAACCUUACCAAGUCUUGACAUCAAUUCGACGGGAGUGUAAUGACUCCUUUCCCUUCGGGGACGAAGAAGACAGGUGGUGCAUGGUUGUCGUCAGCUCGUGUCGUGAGAUGUUGGGUUAAGUCCCGCAACGAGCGCAACCCUUAUCUUCAGUAGCCAGCGAGUAAGGUCGGGCACUCUGGAGAGACUGCCAGGGACAACCUGGAGGAAGGUGGGGAUGACGUCAAAUCAUCAUGCCCCUUAUGACUUGGGCUACACACGUGCUACAAUGGCGUAAACAAAGGGAAGCGAACCUGUGAGGGUGGGCAAAUCCCAAAAAUAACGUCUCAGUUCGGAUUGUAGUCUGCAACUCGACUACAUGAAGCUGGAAUCGCUAGUAAUCGCGAAUCAGCAUGUCGCGGUGAAUACGUUCCCGGGUCUUGUACACACCGCCCGUCACACCAUGGGAGUCGGUAACGCCCGAAGUCAGUGACCCAACCGCAAGGAGGGAGCUGCCGAAGGCGGGACUGGUAACUGGGGUGAAGUCGUAACAAGGUA